rnacentral:misc_RNA from 1 species
CCGAGUUCUUACAGAACCCAACCCUGUGUGAUAAGUUCUCACCCGAACUUUUCCACUACAGGUCUCGGUCCACGGGCAGGCAGCGCCGGCCGCGGUGGACUUCGAGGCACCUGUAGGAAACCCAAACCUCUGUAUCAUUAACACAAAUAUCUGAGCGACUUUACAUAAAGAGUCA